GUCCCCUUUGGGGUGACAUAUGAAAAAAUUGGAAUGAUACAGAGAAGGGAUUUUUUGCCUUUGUCAAUGAUUUCACUGUAAUCCCCGAAGUGGAUGAUCUGUCCAUUUGUGGAAAUUUUCCCUUUUUGGAUAUUUCAAUAUUUUGACCCAGACAUUGUCCAGGUCAAAAAUAUAUCAGUUAGCAUGGCCCCUGCACAAGGAUGACACACUUUCCUGGAGUGGUAGAUCUAUGGAUCUCAAUAUUUAU
rnacentral:snRNA from 1 species